rnacentral:lncRNA from 1 species
UAUGAAAAAUAGUUUUAAAUAGUUCUCUACCCCUCGUGGUACCAUUUUAAAAGAUAAAAGUUUUCGUGUGGGAAACAGUUUUAAGAAGGAGUUUUCUGUGAAAUUCUGUGACUUAGUAUUUCAAAACUUGUUUCUGGGUAGGGAACGUUUAAAUGAUAGGUCUGGUUUUAUGUUUAGAUAUUGUGGAUAAAUCUGGGUUGUAAAUGGUGAAUGCAUGAAUGUAUGUAUGCGUAAUUGUUGUAUGUUCAUUCAGUUGUGGUUGUAUCCUGGUUGCGUUUGUACUUGUGCGAUGCCGUGCAAA